rnacentral:rRNA from 1 species
GAUGAACGCUGGCGGCGUGCCUAAUACAUGCAAGUCGAGCGAACGGACGAGAAGCUUGCUUCUCUGAUGUUAGCGGCGGACGGGUGAGUAACACGUGGAUAACCUACCUAUAAGACUGGGAUAACUUCGGGAAACCGGAGCUAAUACCGGAUAAUAUUUUGAACCGCAUGGUUCAAAAGUGAAAGACGGUCUUGCUGUCACUUAUAGAUGGAUCCGCGCUGCAUUAGCUAGUUGGUAAGGUAACGGCUUACCAAGGCAACGAUGCAUAGCCGACCUGAGAGGGUGAUCGGCCACACUGGAACUGAGACACGGUCCAGACUCCUACGGGAGGCAGCAGUAGGGAAUCUUCCGCAAUGGGCGAAAGCCUGACGGAGCAACGCCGCGUGAGUGAUGAAGGUCUUCGGAUCGUAAGACUCUGUUAUUAGGGAAGAACAUAUGUGUAAGUAACUGUGCACAUCUUGACGGUACCUAAUCAGAAAGCCACGGCUAACUACGUGCCAGCAGCCGCGGUAAUACGUAGGUGGCAAGCGUUAUCCGGAAUUAUUGGGCGUAAAGCGCGCGUAGGCGGUUUUUUAAGUCUGAUGUGAAAGCCCACGGCUCAACCGUGGAGGGUCAUUGGAAACUGGAAAACUUGAGUGCAGAAGAGGAAAGUGGAAUUCCAUGUGUAGCGGUGAAAUGCGCAGAGAUAUGGAGGAACACCAGUGGCGAAGGCGACUUUCUGGUCUGUAACUGACGCUGAUGUGCGAAAGCGUGGGGAUCAAACAGGAUUAGAUACCCUGGUAGUCCACGCCGUAAACGAUGAGUGCUAAGUGUUAGGGGGUUUCCGCCCCUUAGUGCUGCAGCUAACGCAUUAAGCACUCCGCCUGGGGAGUACGACCGCAAGGUUGAAACUCAAAGGAAUUGACGGGGACCCGCACAAGCGGUGGAGCAUGUGGUUUAAUUCGAAGCAACGCGAAGAACCUUACCAAAUCUUGACAUCCUUUGACAACUCUAGAGAUAGAGCUUUCCCCUUCGGGGGACAAAGUGACAGGUGGUGCAUGGUUGUCGUCAGCUCGUGUCGUGAGAUGUUGGGUUUAGUCCCGCAACGAGCGCAACCCUUAAGCUUAGUUGCCAUCAUUAAGUUGGGCACUCUAAGUUGACUGCCGGUGACAAACCGGAGGAAGGUGGGGAUGACGUCAAAUCAUCAUGCCCCUUAUGAUUUGGGCUACACACGUGCUACAAUGGACAAUACAAAGGGCAGCGAAACCGCGAGGUCAAGCAAAUCCCAUAAAGUUGUUCUCAGUUCGGAUUGUAGUCUGCAACUCGACUACAUGAAGCUGGAAUCGCUAGUAAUCGUAGAUCAGCAUGCUACAGUGAAUACGUUCCCGGGUCU